ACGAACGCUGGCGGCGUGCUUAACACAUGCAAGUCGAACGGAAAGGCCCUGCUUUUGUGGGGUGCUCGAGUGGCGAACGGGUGAGUAACACGUGAGUAACCUGCCCUUGACUUUGGGAUAACUUCAGGAAACUGGGGCUAAUACCGGAUAGGAGCUCCUGCUGCAUGGUGGGGGUUGGAAAGUUUCGGCGGUUGGGGAUGGACUCGCGGCUUAUCAGCUUGUUGGUGGGGUAGUGGCUUACCAAGGCUUUGACGGGUAGCCGGCCUGAGAGGGUGACCGGCCACAUUGGGACUGAGAUACGGCCCAGACUCCUACGGGAGGCAGCAGUGGGGAAUAUUGCACAAUGGGCGGAAGCCUGAUGCAGCAACACCGCGUGCGGGAUGACGGCCUUCGGGUUGUAAACCGCUUUCGCCUGUGACGAAGCGUGAGUGACGGUAAUGGGUAAAGAAGCACCGGCUAACUACGUG
rnacentral:rRNA from 1 species